AAAUUGAAGAGUUUGAUCAUGGCUCAGAUUGAACGCUGGCGGCAGGCCUAACACAUGCAAGUCGAGCGGUAGCACAGAGAGCUUGCUCUCGGGUGACGAGCGGCGGACGGGUGAGUAAUGUCUGGGAAACUGCCUGAUGGAGGGGGAUAACUACUGGAAACGGUAGCUAAUACCGCAUAACGUCGCAAGACCAAAGUGGGGGACCUUCGGGCCUCAUGCCAUCAGAUGUGCCCAGAUGGGAUUAGCUAGUAGGUGGGGUAACGGCUCACCUAGGCGACGAUCCCUAGCUGGUCUGAG
rnacentral:rRNA from 2 species